UACGGAGGAUGCAAGCGUUAUCCGGAAUGAUUGGGCGUAAAGCGUCCGCAGGUGGCAAUGUAAGUCUGCUGUCAAAGCGUCUGGCUCAACCAGAUAAAGGCAGUGGAAACUACAUAGCUAGAGUAAGGUAGGGGUAGAGGGAAUUCCUGGUGUAGCGGUGAAAUGCGUAGAGAUCAGGAAGAACACCGGUGGCGAAAGCGCUCUGCUGGACCUUAACUGACACUGAGGGACGAAAGCUAGGGGAGCGAUUGGG
rnacentral:rRNA from 1 species